rnacentral:rRNA from 1 species
UACGGAGGGUGCGAGCGUUAAUCGGAAUUACUGGGCGUAAAGCGCGCGUAGGCGGUUUGUUAAGUCAGCUGUGAAAGCCCCGGGCUCAACCUGGGAACUGCAGUUGAUACUGGCCGACUAGAGUACGAGAGAGGGAGGUAGAAUUCCAUGUGUAGCGGUGAAAUGCGUAGAUAUAUGGAGGAAUACCAGUGGCGAAGGCGGCCUCCUGGCUCGAUACUGACGCUGAGGUGCGAAAGCGUGGGGAUCAAACAGG